rnacentral:misc_RNA from 1 species
GGGAUAUCAGCGAUUUUAAAUUGGCUGAGCUUCGUACCACCAUAUUGUGGUGGCCCACUUCCUAUUUCAACUCCUGUGGAUCCUCCAGAGAGACCUGUUGAGUACUUCCCAGAAACCACAUGUGAUCCACGAGCAGCCAUAUCUGGCUUCACAGAUGCAAGUGGAACGUGGUUGGGAGGCAUUUUUGACAAGGAGAGCUUCAUUGAGACACUGGAAGGCUGGGCAA